GUCCAUGCCGUAACGAUGUCUACUAGCCGUUGGGCCUUUGAGGCUUUAGUGGCGCAGCUAACGCGAUAAGUAGACCGCCUGGGGAGUACGGUCGCAAGACUAAACUCAAAGGAAUUGACGGGGACCCGCACAAGCGGUGGAGCAUGUGGUUUAAUUCGAAGCAACGCGAAGAACCUUACCAGGUCUUGACAUCCCUUGACACCUCUAGAGAUAGAGCGUUCCCUUCGGGGACAAGGUGACAGGUGGUGCAUGGUUGUCGU
rnacentral:rRNA from 1 species